AACAACGCAACUUCCGCCACACAAGGUCACACUCAGCACAUUGGGCGACCGACGUCUCAAGUUUGGAGAAACAGAUCAAAGUGAGUCGACCACCGACGCUUCCAAUUUUGAACAGCUCACCCGAGAACAAAGAGCGGCGACAGAAGCCUUGAACUGUUGAGUUGGUCAAAGAUGAACUUUAACCUCCCCAAGUCUUCCACUCACUCCUCCAACCCGGCGAAUGCUGAGAAAAUCAAACGUAGGACCUCGUGCCGACCAAAGGUCUCCGCCAGAGAUACCUCAACAGACAUGAGUGCCCUCCAGAAGGGGCGUGUCAUGACGGAAGUCAGGAACUCCAAGGACGUCUUCCAGACAGUCAAAGACCGUCUCUGUCUCUGGCCUACAAGUGAUGAGAUCAUUUGCAUGUUGAUGCUGCUGAAGAGUGAGCAGUCAUCUCCAUCGUACAGGACAGGCGUGAACAUACCACCUCGCCCCGUCACACAGACAGCAUCCAGCGACGCUUUUAUGGUCCUCUUCUAAUAAAAGGCAAGAAAUGGAUUAGAAAAAAAUUAUCUGGCCAUUUGACUCCGCCCUAGUUGAAAGAUUCUGGAAGUUUCUUCAGUGGGCAUGUGGGAGACAUGAACAACAGUUGUAGUGUUAUUGAAUUUGGUUCUUUGAGUGAGCGAUUCAUGUGGUUCUACUUGAGUGAUUUUGUAUUUCUAGCUAUUUGUGUAUUUCUGCGCGAGUUUUCUAGCUUCCUUAGAUUGUUCCCACAUAGUGGAUGUAUGGGGCUAUGCUAGGUCUACUUCCUUAGAUUUAUCCCACAUAGGUCUAAUGGAUGGGGCUAUGCUAGGUCUAAUUCAGUUUGAUCUCACAUAGUGGAUGGGGCUAUGCUAGGUCUACUUCCUUAGAUUGGUCUCACAUAGAUCUGAUGGAUGGGGUUGGGCUAGGUCUACCCUUUUGUUCAAACAAUACUUCUUGUUUUGUGUCAGUAGACCCGUCAGUUCACACAUCUUAUGAUUCUGGUUAACAUUUAAAUCUUAAAAUACAAAUUAUAUAUUUUUUUCCCUGCAGAUUUUUUUCUUCUUGUGUAUCGGAAUAUGUAAAGCCACAUAAAUAUUCUCUACGGCCACAUGACCAUUUAGUCAUAGCAGGUCAAUAGGUCAUUAUGGUAUGGAGUCUUGUGUGCUCGAGAGGUCUUAAAUGGUCUGUAAAUCAUACGGCCUGUAGGUCAUAUUGUCUGUAGGUCAGGUCAGGUCUAUAGGUCACAUCUGGUCUGUAGGUCGUCUCUGGUCUUACGUCAUAUCAAAUCCUAAGUAAAAUUUCUAAUUUUUAUGGACUAGUCACCGAUGCCACCAAAAUGUUUAACGGGCGAUAACCGGUUUUUUAAAAGUUACCUUUAUUAGUCGCGAGUUAACUCCCUGCACCCCGACACUCUAGGAAAACAAGCCUUGUAACUCUUGUAAACUUUGAUUUGUAUCUAUGUAUUUUGAUAUUUUUAAAUUCAUUUUUAUAUCACGUUUUUUAUAAGUACAAUAAACUUUCAUUACACAA